AUACGGAGGAUCCCAGCGUUAUCCGGAUUUAUUGGGUUUAAAGGGUGCGCAGGCGGAAGAUUAAGUCGGCGGUGAAAUUUUGCAGCUCAACUGGUAAAGUGCCCUCGCUACUGGUUUUCUUGAGUGUGGAUGAAGUAGGCGGAAUUUGUGGUGUACCGGUGAAAUGCAUAGAUAUCACGAGGAACUCCGAUUGCGCAGGCAGCUUACUAGGCCAUAACUGACGCUCAGGCACGAAGGCGUGGGGAUCAAACAGGAUUAGAUACCCUGGUAGUCCACGCAGUAAACGAUGAUUACUCGCUGUUUGCGAUACACAGUAAGCGGCUUAGCGAAAGCGUUAAGUAAUCCACCUGGGGGGUACGUUCGCAAGAAUGAAACUCAAAUGAAUUGACGGGG
rnacentral:rRNA from 1 species